GAUGAACGCUGGCGGCGUGCCUAAUACAUGCAAGUCGAGCGAACAGACGAGGAGCUUGCUCCUCUGACGUUAGCGGCGGACGUGUGAGUAACACGUGGAUAACCUACCUAUAAGACUGGGAUAACUUCGGGAAACCGGAGCUAAUACCGGAUAAUAUAUUGAACCGCAUGGGUCGAUAGUGAGAGACGGUUUUUCUGUCACUUAUAGAUGGAUCCGCGCCGCAUUAGCUAGUUGGUAAGGUAACGGCUUACCAAGGCAACGAUGCGUAGCCGACCUGAGAGGGUGGUCGGCCACCCUGGAACUGAGACAGGGUCCAGACUCCUACGGGAGGCAGCAGUAGGGAAUCUUACGCAGUGGGCGAAAGCCUGACGGAGCAACGCCGCGUGAGUGAUGAAGGUCUUCGGAUCGUAAAACUCUGUUAUUAGUGAAGAACAAAUGUGUAAGUAAAUAUGCACGUAUUGACGGUACCUAAUCAGAAAGCCACGGCUAACUACGUG
rnacentral:rRNA from 1 species